UGUGCAUGUGUGUGUGUGUGUGUAUGUAUAUAUACACAUAUAUAUGUAUAUAUGUGUGCUGGUUUAAAUGUAUUGUAGGAGCCGCAUUUAAGUUUUUUGUAUUUGGAAUGAUUUAUUGAUUUUUCCCCUUUUUGUGGAAUUGCGAGUGUGCGCCCUCUAUAGGUGGUGACGGUGCCACCCUUGAAAUGGCUGCCAGACACGCAUGACGGGGAGAAGGCGGGCGCAAUUACCGUCAUUGACCUCAGUGCUGAGGCCGUGAACCACGCUGUCUCCGUUUGGGCCUGUUCAGCUUGUUGCAGCGUUUAGUUAUUUGGACUUUAAAACUGCAAUUGCAUCCUUAUUUUUUGUGACAAUUUUUAUACAAUAAAACCGGCAACAUUGGAUGGUCAAACUCCCUUUGUAUUGGAUUAUUGGACAGAACUGCGAGUCUUGACAUUGCUUCUCCUGCUUUCUCCAUGGUGGUAAAAUCAAUUAGGACGUAGGAAUAGGAUCUAGGGGUUUAAAGGAAAAAACUCAACUGUUUUUGCCACUACAAUUCGUCAAUGACGAUGCUUGGAUUUUCCCCGAAGAUAUUCACGCAAGCUGGACACAGGAAUGUCGGCCUAACGCAUGGUGAACUUGAAACAAAGGAACUCUUCAACGGAGGUAUGUGCUUGAAGAUAUCAUUCUUUUGAUGGAUUUUUCGUUGACAAACAAUAUUGGAAUAAUUAAGAAACAAGUUUUCAUGGAAGAUUUGUGCAUUAAUGAACUGUGAUAAUUAUUUUUGGAAGUUAAUGCCGACGUGGCCAAACAAUUGAAUGAGUGGAUACACGGCUUACUUUGAGUGUAUGAAACGAGAAGAUACUUUUGGAAGAUACUUCUUGGAAAUUAUAUGAACUGUUUUGAACGUUGGAUACAUUUGAAUUAAGAGAAAGAAGAUAAAUAUUUUUCGUUAUUUUUGGAAGUUUAUUUUUUGAGUACAAUGUCUGACGACGAGGCCGAAGUGGCUGUUCUAACAAUGAGUGAACAGGCCGCGCGUUUGCGCGCAACUAGAUCGGGAAAAAUAUCUCGUGUAACAAGGAGAAUGAAUAUUGUGAACAAUUUGAUGAUUGACAAAGAAUCCCUUGAUGAAGUGAAAGGAAACAUGAUUAAGUUUUAUGAAGUCUUUGAAGAGUUUAACACUUCGAAUUCAACUUACGUUCAGUGUUUGGAUGAGGAAUCACGCAAAGAUGAUGACGAGAAGUGGUGUAAGCCGCGAUCAGCGGAGAUAAAUGCUUUUAUUGCAAAUGUGAAUGAAUGGAUUUCACAAAUAGAAAAUCCUCAAGACCCUAGCUUAGGUGAAGCAACGUCUUCUGCUGUACAAACGGAAGAGCCAGAGCCUCUGGCUGAGUCUGAUUGUGGAAAUGAUGAACAUGAUGCAGGCACGCAGGCAAACGUUGAUAACACCGAUGCGCUAUCAGUUGUGUCCAGUAGGUCAUCUAGGUCGUCUAGGUCAUCUAGGUCGUCUAGAGCGUCUUCAUCAUUGCGUAUCAAUGCAGAAGCAGAACGAUUAGCUUUAAUUGCCAAAGCUUCGAAAUUAAAGGAGAAACAUGCAAUAGAAGCACAGGAAGAAAUGUUAAGAAAAAAGAAGGAAACAUUGGAUUUGGAUGCAGAAAUUGAAGCAGCUACUGUAAAAAUCAACUAUCUAAAAGAAGCUGAAAGUAAUAUGUCUAACCCCAUGCAAUCCAACACUGCUGUAUCUAACCUUGUGCCUUCUGUUAAAAUGCCUGUAUUAGGUGCUGAAGCAGCUCAAGCCACAGCUGAUGCAUCACAAGCACACCUGGAGAAAAGGCUAGACUAUUCGCUUCAUCUUCAUGAUCGCACUGCUCCAGCAGUCAGGACUAAGACAGGUGCCAAUGUCCAAUUUCCCCUGCCUAAUUUAGGUACAGAUAGGCAAGACAGUAAGCCUAUUUUCCUUCCCAGGAUCAGUAGUGAUAUAAGGCCACAACAGCUACACCCCUCAUCGCAUAGCUUUCCCUCUGCCCGAUAUGCCUCAUCACAUAGCCAUCUCUCUGCCCAACACUCAUCUCAUAGCUAUUCCUCUGCCAUUCCCCCUGUCAUUUCCCAGUCAUAUGCUAGCUCAGAUCAAGCCACUCGGUCCACUGUGACACACCAGCAAAUUCCCUCUUCAACCAGCUCACCGCAGGACAAUCAUGUGAUCAAAGUAUUGGAGAAUCAAAGUGAAUUAACCAGGAUGCUCAUGAAACAGCAACUUCUGACUACACUACCUCAAGGAAAUAUCCCACUCUUUGACGGACAAGUUCUAGAGUACAAAUCAUUCAUUCACUCGUUUGAAAACAUGAUUGAACAGAAAACAGAUAACAAUAGAGACCGGUUACAAUUUCUUAUUCAGUAUACUAAGGGCCAGGCACAAAGACUAGUCAAAAGUUGUGAGUACAUGUCCCCAGAUAGAGGCUAUCAGAAAGCAAAGCAGUUACUGAAGGAAAACUUUGGAAAUGAAUACAAGAUAUCUUGUGCAUACUUGGAAAAGGUCCAAUCCUGGACUCAAAUGAAAUCUGAGGAUUCCAAAAUGCUGCAGGAUUAUGCCAUGUUUCUCAGGAGCUGCUGCAACGCUAUGGAGGAAAUGGACUACAUGCAGGAACUGGACACCAUAUCCAGCAUGAGAAGCAUUGCCCUCAAGUUGCCAUUCAAGCUCAAAGAGAAAUGGCGUAACAAGGCUUAUGAACUCCAAGAACGGCACCAGCGUAGGGUAAGAAUUUUAGAUCUUGUCUCUUUCAUUGAAAAGCAAGCCCGUAUAGCAGCUGAUCCAGUUUUUGGUGACCUUCAAGACCAGUCAACUAGUAGAGCUAAGGUUAGAGCCCCUACUCUGUCACAGCCCUCAAAGUCAUCUGGCAGUAGCUAUGCCACUAGUAUUGCUCUUGCCCAAAAAGAGACAAAGCCUGAACCAUCUUGCCCCCUCUGUAGCUCAAAGCACACAUUGGACUUGUGCAAAGACUUCUCAAAGAAAAUGCAUAGAGACAAGAUCAGUUUCUUAAAGACCAAGGGCAUAUGCUUUGGAUGUCUCUCCGCAGGCCACAUUAGUAGAGAGUGCAAAAAGCGACUCACAUGUCAAGUUUGCAAGAAAACUCACCCAAGCGUCUUGCAUAUUGGGAUUAACGACAGCACAGCUAAAGAAGCAGAAAAACCCUCUGGUGUUUUAGGCAGUGCAUCAGCAGAGUUAUGUGGUCAUAUAGGGGCCGGAGACCAAGAGUGCGCACUUUCCAUCGUCCCAGUUAAGGUUAAGGCAGCAAAGGGCAGCCAAGUCUUGCAAGUGUAUGCUCUCCUGGAUCCAGGGUCUUCUGCUACCUUCUGCUCAGAGGAGCUCAUGACACGUCUCAAUCUCAAAGGAAGGAGAACACAAAUUCUUCUACGAACAAUGAAUCAGGAAAAUUCUGUUCCCACGCAUGUUGUCUCAGGAAUUGAAGUUUCAGCAUUGGACAGCGACAACUUCUCACCUCUUCCUGACACUUUCACUCAGAAGAAAAUGCCAGUAACCACUAACAACAUCCCAAGACAGAGUGACUUAGCGCAAUGGGCGUAUUUAAGUGAAGUCAAAAUCCCCUCUAUUAGUGCAAAGGUAGAGCUGUUAAUUGGAACAAAUGCUCCAACCCUGAUAGAGCCGUGGGAGGUUGUUAACAGCCAAAGUGGGGGCCCUUAUGCAGCUAGAACACUAUUGGGGUGGGUUGUAAAUGGGCCACUUAGAAGUGAAACUGGCAGUGCAAAAAGUGUUACGGUGAAUAGGAUUUCAGUGGCAAGGCUAGAGGAGCUUCUGAUCUCACAGUACAAUCAGGAUUUUUCUGAAGUUGCCUCUGAGGAGACAACUGAAGUUUCUAUUGAGGACAAAGGAUUUCUGAAAAUGGCCAAUGAGGCAGUUCUGAAUGAUGGACAUUACAAUCUGAAAUUGCCCUUCAGAAAGGCUGAUGUCUGUAUGCCAAACAAUCGCCAAAUUGCAGAACAGCGCCUCCAGAGCCUAAGAAGGAAAAUGGAAAAGGAUGAGCAAUAUAAACAGGAAUAUGUUGCAUUUUUCAAUGACAUCUUUGAGAGUAAUUAUGCAGAGGAGGUCCCACAGGAAGAACUUGCACAGUCAACAGGAAAGGUAUGGUACUUGCCACACCACGGGGUGUACCACCCUAAAAAGAAAAAGCUCAGAGUAGUCUUUGAUUGUGCUGCCUCUUACCAGGGUGUAUCCCUUAACACCGAACUGCUGCAGGGACCUGACCUGACAAAUUCCCUCAUUGGAGUCAUCAUGAGAUUUCGCAAAGAGCCUGUUGCAAUCAUGUCGGACAUCAAGUCAAUGUUCCAUCAGGUUAGAGUAGCCAGAUCUGAUGUUAAUUACUUGCGAUUCCUGUGGUGGCCAAAAGGUGAGACCAGUCAAGCACCCAAGGAACACCGUAUGCUUGUACACAUAUUCGGUGCAGUGUCCUCCCCUAGCAUUGCAAGCUUUGCAUUAAGAAAAACUGCUGCGGACAAUGAGUGUUGUUUUCCCCCUCAAGUAGCCGAAACAGUCCGGCACAACUUUUAUGUGGACGACUGUGCAAAGUCUGUGGCCAAGGAAUCAGACGCCAUCCAGCUGGUGAAAGAUGUCACUGCACUAUGCAGCAAAGGUGGGUUCCAACUCACUCAGUGGGUCAGCAAUAACAGGGCAGUUUUAGCAUCAAUCCCUAAAGAACACAGAGCAAAGGAAAUCAAAACACUGGAUCUCGACAAAGACAGUUUGCCCAUUGAAAGAGCACUGGGACUGCAGUGGUGCGUGGAUUCUGACCGUUUCCAAUUCAACAUCAACCUGAGCCAAAAGCCACACACCCGCAGAGGCAUACUCUCUGUUGUUAGUUCCAUCUUUGAUCCACUAGGCUUUCUUGCUCCUCUCAUUCUCCCAGCUAAGCAGUUGCUACAAGAGCUCUGCCAGCGAGGCUUCGGAUGGGAUGAGCCUCUGCCCCAGACAGUGUCUGAAAAGUGGAUGGAAUGGACCAACAGCCUGGAUAGGAUCAAAGGCUUCAGUGUGCCACGCUGUUUGAAACCAAAGGGCUAUGGAAUGACAAGCCAUGCCGAGCUUCACCACUUCGCCGACGCCAGUGAGAGUGGCUAUGGCUCAGUCAGCUACAUCAGACAGUUGAACCAGCAGGAUGUCAUUCACGUCACUUUGGUCCUUGGAAAGUCCAGAGUUCUUCCCCUUAAGAACAUCACCGUGCCACGACUGGAGCUGGCAGCUGCAGCUUUGCUGGUGAAGGUAGAUAGAAUGCUGAGAGGAGAGUUACACCUUGACCUAAAGCCUUCAUGUUUCUGGACUGAUAGCCAAACAGUGCUCAAGUACAUUGCAAAUGACCGAGCAAGGUAUAAGACCUAUGUAGCCAAUAGGGUCUCACUGAUUCGGGACAAUACAGACCUGUCCCAAUGGAGAUACGUAAGCAGCAAGGACAAUCCUGCUGAUGAUUCAUCCAGAGGAUUGAAUGCAGGAAGAUUCAUGGAGCAAAGGAGAUGGAUACAUGCCCCUGAAUUCUUAUGGAACACAAAGGAAAGUUGGCCAGAGGAGGAAGUAUUGGACUCGGUGUCACAGGACGAUCCAGAGGUCAGGAAAAGUGCUACUGUAUUGGCAGCAGUAGUGAACCCUGCGACACCCACAGACCAGCUUAUUUCGUUCUUUUCUGACUGGAGGAGACUACUCAAAGCAGUGGCAUGGUUUAUCAGACUGAAAAAGAUGUUGAUGCUGAUUGUGAAAAGAGGAAAGGAGCAGCCCUCGUCUCAAGUCAGCACCCGCUCAAGCAGGAAAAAGGUGAGGAUACAAAUUGAAGAUUUCAGGACCUACCUUGGUGGGCAGCUCCUCACUGUUGAAGAUCUUGCAGAGGCAGAAAGGUCAGUCGUCACAUACACCCAAGGACAAGCCUUCGGUGCUGAAAUUGCAACACUGGAGAUGAUCCCACCUAGAGUGCACAAGGGCAGUAAGAUCUGCAGGCUUGAUCCUGUCCUAGACGAGGGCAUUCUGAGAGUAGGUGGCCGACUGCACAAAUCUGCAAUGCCUGAGGAAACCAAACACCCCUGCAUCUUGCCCAAAGACUCGCACAUCUCGAUACUGCUCUUAAGACACAUCCAUGAACGAUGUGGCCACAAUGGCAGAAACCACAUGCUAUCGGAGCUCCGGAAAAAGUACUGGAUUUUAAAAGGCAACUCAGUUGCCAGGAAGGUGCUCUCAAAAUGUGUCAUGUGUCGACGUUCAAGGGGCAAGGCAAGUGAACAGAAGAUGGCGGAUUUGCCGUUAGAAAGAAUCCUACCUGACCUCCCUCCAUUUACCAAUGUCGGGUUGGACUACUUUGGCCCGUUUGAAGUGAAACGAGGGAGAACUGCCAUCAAAAGGUAUGGAGUUCUUUUUACAUGCAUGUCUAGUAGAGCUAUUCAUUUGGAAAUUGCCUUUACACUUGACACAGACUCAUGCAUUCAUGCUUUGAGGAGAUUUGUCUGCAGGAGGGGCCAGGUGAAGCACAUCAGGUCUGAUAAUGGAACAAACCUGGUGGGUGCACACGGAGAGCUCAAGAAGGCCCUGAAGUCACUGAACGAGAGGAAAAUCCAAGAUGCCCUGCUUCCAGAUGGAAUCGAAUGGAGUUUCAAUCCACCAUCAGCAUCACACCAUGGCGGAGCCUGGGAAAGGCUCAUAAGAUCUGUCCGCCAGGUGCUGAACUCUACUCUCCAUCAACAGUCCAUCGAUGAUGAAGGCCUCCAAACACUGUUUUGCGAGGUGGAGGCAAUCCUGAACAAUCGUCCUCUCUGCACAGUGUCCUCAGACCCACAUGACCUAGAGCCACUGACCCCAAAUCACAUCCUGCUAUUGAAAGCCAAGCCAAUCCUACCCCCUGGAACCUUCUUGAAGUCCGACAUCUAUGCCAGACGUCGCUGGAAACAGGUCCAGUACAUGGCCGAUCUUUUCUGGCAAAGGUGGACCAAAGAAUAUCUUCUGCUGCUGCAGGAGAGGCAGAAAUGGACUUCACUAAAGAGGAACCUUAGUGUCGGAGACAUUGUCCUGGUCGUUGACCCCACUGCUCCUCGAGGGUCCUGGCCAUUAGGAAGAGUGCUGGAGACGAAACCUGAUGCAAGGGGUCUAGUGCGGUCAGUGAAGCUCAAGACAAAAACUUCAGUCCUUGAGAGGCCCAUAACCAAGCUGUGCCAAAUCCUUGAGUCUGAAGAGUGACCAGGGUUCCUGAUCACAUUAGAAAGGAAUGUAAUGUAUACAUGAUUUCAUACCUUCUCUAAACCAUUAUGCAUUACAUACUUCUAAAAGCAUUAAGUGCUUAUUUACUUUAUUGAUAAAUUGACCCCUCUUUUGGCUCCUUUCAUGUUAAUUUAGGUAAUUGAUUCUAUAGAGAACAAUUAGGGGCCGGUGUGUAGGAGCCGCAUUUAAGUUUUUUGUAUUUGGAAUGAUUUAUUGAUUUUUCCCCUUUUUGUGGAAUUGCGAGUGUGCGCCCUCUAUAGGUGGUGACGGUGCCACCCUUGAAAUGGCUGCCAGACACGCAUGACGGGGAGAAGGCGGGCGCAAUUACCGUCAUUGACCUCAGUGCUGAGGCCGUGAACCACGCUGUCUCCGUUUGGGCCUGUUCAGCUUGUUGCAGCGUUUAGUUAUUUGGACUUUAAAACUGCAAUUGCAUCCUUAUUUUUUGUGACAAUUUUUAUACAAUAAAACCGGCAACAUUGGAUGGUCAAACUCCCUUUGUAUUGGAUUAUUGGACAGAACUGCGAGUCUUGACAUUGCUUCUCCUGCUUUCUCCAUGGUGGUAAAAUCAAUUAGGACGUAGGAAUAGGAUCUAGGGGUUUAAAGGAAAAAACUCAACUGUUUUUGCCACUACAUGUAUGUGC
rnacentral:lncRNA from 1 species